UACGUAGGGGGCGAGCGUUGUCCGGAUUUAUUGGGCGUAAAGAGCGUGUAGGCGGCCAGGUAGGUCUGCUGUGAAAACUCGAGGCUCAACCUCGAGACGUCGGCGGAAACCAUCUGGCUAGAGUCCGGAAGAGGAGAGUGGAAUUCCUGGUGUAGCGGUGAAAUGCGCAGAUAUCAGGAAGAACACCCGUGGCGAAGGCGGCUCUCUGGGACGUGACUGACGCUGAGACGCGAAAAGCGUGGGGAGCAAACAGG
rnacentral:rRNA from 1 species